rnacentral:sRNA from 1 species
GGAAGAUGCAUGGUGUUGAAUCCCUAAACAUUGACAUUUACUGGGGCUUUCUAGAAGCUUUUAUAAUUUAUUUUAAAGACAUAUUUUCAUAGUUUGGACAUCAAAUUCAAGGCUAUGUGCAUGCUAGACAAACACUCUACCACUAAGCUACACCUCC